rnacentral:lncRNA from 1 species
CUCAGGUUAUAUUGGAUCCUAAUAAGGUCUGUGUCGUGUUUAUUGUAUCACCAUGCAUAGUCACAAUAUGACUUUAGAUUUUUUUAAUUGAAGUUCUCAAUAGGUUUGUUCCAUGACUCAUUUUUACAUUCUUAUGCAAUGCAACAAAGAGUCACUUUAACCACUGUGGUUCUCCUGGGCUGGGAAAAUUCACAGAGGACAAGAACUUGGAGAUUUACAAGAAAAUUUUGGAGUCCAGAGGAUGCUCAACUACAAAUGAUGGGGUUUUGUAGUAUGCCUGUAGGAUUAUGCCAUGUGAUGCAGACAACGAAAGGAGAAUGUUCCACCACAAAACAGACUGCUAAUGUGAGUGAAAAGCAUCAGGAUUUGGAAGCAGCAAGCAUCAGGAUGGGAAGACCUCAGGAAUUCAUACAUAAAAAUCAGAGAAGAACCAUCUUUGAAAAUAUCCAUCAUGAUUUUCAUAAGAAGUGCCACAAAAAGGUAUCUAUUUUCCUGCAAAAGUUGUUGAUUUUCCCUGUGUAUCUGCAUCUCAGCCACUGC